rnacentral:rRNA from 1 species
CUGGUUGAUCCUGCCAGAGGCUACUGCUAUCGGGGUCCGACUAAGCCAUGCGAGUUGAGAGGGGUAAGCCCUCGGCAUAUUGCUCAGUAACACGCGGAUAACCUGCCCUUGGGUCCGGGAUAACCCCGGGAAACUGGGACUAAUACCGGAUAGAUCAAGGAUACUGGAAUGUUCUCUGGUCCAAAACUCCGGUGCCCAAGGAUGGGUCUGCGGCCUAUCAGGUAGUAGUGGGUGUAACGUACCUACUAGCCUACGACGGGUAAGGGUUGUGAGAGCAAGAGCCCUGAGAUGGAUUCUGAGACAUGAAUCCAGGCCCUACGGGGUGCAGCAGGCGCGAAAACUUUACACUGCGGGAAACCGCGAUAAGGGGACCCCGAGUGCCAGUACCUAGUGCUGGCUGUCCCGCUGUCCAAACAACAGUGGUUAGCAAGGGCCGGGCAAGACCGGUGCCAGCCGCCGCGGUAACACCGGCGGCUCGAGUGGUAACCGUUAUUAUUGGAUCUAAAGGGUCUGUAGCCGGCCGGAUAAGUCUCUUGGGAAAUCUGGCAGCUUAACUGUCAGGCUUUCAGGAGAUACUGUCUGGCUCGAGGCCGGGAGAGGUGAGAGGUACUUCAGGGGUAGGGGUGAAAUCUUGUAAUCCUUGAAGGACCACCAGUGGCGAAGGCGUCUCACCAGAACGGACCUGACGGCAAGGGACGAAAGCUAGGGGCACGAACCGGAUUAGAUACCCGGGUAGUCCUAGCCGUAAACGAUACUCGCUAGGUGUCGGCCACGGUGCGACCGUUGUCGGUGCCGUAGGGAAGCCGUGAAGCGAGCCACCUGGGAAGUACGGCCGCAAGGCUGAAACUUAAAGGAAUUGGCGGGGGAGCACCACAACGGGUGGAGCUUGCGGUUUAAUUGGAUUCAACGCCGGG